rnacentral:rRNA from 1 species
CAGCGCCACGAGUGGGAGCCACGUUUAUUGGGCCUAAAGCGUCCGUAGCCUGUUCUGUAAAUCCUUUGUGAAAUCGACAAGCUCAACUUGCCGGCAUGCUUGGGACACUGCAGAACUUGAGACCGGGAGGGGUAUGGAGUAUUCUGGGGGGAGCGGUAAAAUGCUAUAAUCCCUAGAAGACUACCUGUGGCGAAGGCGCCAUACCAGAACGGAUCUGACGGUGAGGGACGAAGGCUAGGGGAGCGAUCCGGAUUAGAGACCCGAGUAGUCC